CUCUCUCUCUCUCUCUCUCUCUCUCUCUCUCUCUCUCUCUCUCUCUCUCGAUCUAUCUCUUUCGCGCCGUCGUCCAGAUCCACUGUCGUCCCGAUCCACCGUCGAAGUCUCCAUCCAGACCCUCCGUCGACGUCUCCGUCCAGAUCCGCCGUCGACGUCUCCGUCCAGAUCCGCCGUCGACGUCUCCGUCCAGAUCCGUUGUCUCCGUUCAGAUCCACGAAGCAUACGAGAUCGAGACUCAAAACCUCAAAAUGUUGAAUCCUCAGCAAAAAUCACAACUUGUAAGUAAUUUUCCGGAAUUUUGUUGUUUCAAUCUAAGAGAAAGAGUUAUUUAUUAAUAGUCGGAUCUAAGAGAAAGAUUUCCGAUAGUGAACAUUGAGUUUUUGAAAAUUUAUAACCCUGUAUAAAUCUAAGUUAUUUAGUAAUGUAAUUGACAUGUUCAGUUUCCGACACUCAUGAAAGAAGGGUAUGUUUAAGCUUAUAUGAGAGCCACAACCCUGCCCUCACACAUUUCCUUUCAUCUACAAUAGUAAUCACCAAAUUCAUCAUUUGCUCAGGGUUUUUUCUCAAGUCUUAUUGACCAAUCAUUGACAUUUUUUUUAGUUUCUUCUUGUGUCUUAGAUUGCAGAGUCUGUCCCUUUAGCACUGAUAAAAGGUAUGCUACAACGCAAGUGAAGGCUCCACCUCAGCUGCAGAAAACAGGUGCCGUUAGAGUGUUGCCGGUAAGCCAUGGAUUUGUUUACUAACCUUAUGCACUUCAUGAGAAAAUCUCGUGGUGUCGAAAGUGCAUGUGCGUGACAUAUGGGUCUUUGAGAAGUCUCUAUUCCACACAGGAGCUUGCUGGCGUCUCUAUGGCCAUAUUAAAUUUCCUUCAAAAGAUAUAAUCCAACCUGCCCUCUGAUUUUUUUUUGCUGAGUCAAUAUCUCUACACAAUUUGUAUUCUUCUAGUCUAUGUUGCAACUAAAGGGUGAAUGUUGUCUGAUUAGGUUCUAGAUAAUUUUAUAAACAAUUUAUAAAGACGUAUAAUUUUUUUUUUAAAGUCUAUAAACAAUUUAUAAAUGUUUAUGAAAACGUUAAAGUUAAUAAACUAUUUAUAAAUGUUUAUGAAAACAUUAAAGUUAAUAAACAAUUUAUAAGGUUUAUAUAGGUUUAGGAAUCAAUUAUAAAGUCCCUAAAUCAUUCAUAAUAAUCUAUAACCAUUUAGGAAAUCUUAUAAAACAAUUUAUAAGAGUUUGUAACAUAAUUUAUAAGGGUUUACAAGUAUAUGUAAAUAAUCAAUAAGAGUUAAUAAGAGUUUAUAAACCUUUUGUAAAGUUUAUAAAAAAAAAAAGUUUAUAAAUUUUGUAAAUUAUUUAUAAAUGUUUAUAAACUAUUUGUAAGAGUAUAUAAGCUAUUUAUAAAGGCUUAUAAAGAAGUUUAUAAAGUCUAUAAACCGUUUAUAAAUGUUUAUAAAAGAAAUCAGUUAGAAGGUCUUUAAAUCAUUUAUAAGAGUCUAUAACCAUUUAGAAACGCUUAUAAGACAAUUUAUAAGGUUUGUAAAAUAAUGUAUAAGGUUUAUAAAGGUAUGUAAAUAAUUUAUAAGGGUUUAUAACACAUUUAUAAAGUUCAUAAAAGUUUUUAUAAAGUUUAGAAACCAUUUAUAAUUGCUUAUUAAUCAUUUAUGAAGAGUUUAUAAACCUUUUAUAAAGGGUAUGUAAUAAAUUUCUUCAUGCCUCUAUAAUGUCCCUAAAUUAUUCAUAAGAAUCUAUAACCAUUUAGAAAUGCUUAUAAAACAAUUUGUUCUUUAUGUUAUUAAAAAAAAUCAACAAAGGUUGGCUUAGAACAUGUUAAUAUAUGGGAAAGAGUUUCGAUAGUGAAUAUUGAGUUUACGAAUUUUUUUUUUAAUUUUGGGUUCAAAUAAUUUUAGGAUUUUCAUACCUCUGUUAUCCAAAAAACAAAUAAGGUCGAUUUAUACUUGUCAUUUUCAUCCCUCUGUUAUCCAAAAAGAAAAUAAGGUACAUUAUCCAUAUCGCUCCACCUAUAAAACUUAUCCAUCAAUCCAUAGUUGAUUCCCAACCCAUAUCUCAUCUCGGCUUAUCGUUUAAAAAUAUCUUCUCUUGUUCUUAGAAUCCGCAUAAAAGCAUGGUAUGUGUGUACAUUGGGAAAACUCCGUUCUUUGCCUCUUUUUGUUCUUUUAUCCAUGCAUGGGGUUUGAUGAGAGUUGUAAGCUAAAAUGUGUGGUUUCAUCCCUUCCUACUCUUCCAUUGCCUUAAUCAAAUUCAACGCCUCAAAGUGAGAGACAAACCUAUCUUUGGCAAGAGUGUGAACCACCACAUUGUACGCUUUUCUAUUUGGCUCUAUAGACUUCUUUUUCAUCCGGUAGAGAAGUUAAAGCACCUUAUUCAAGUUACCUUCUUUCGAAUAGCAAGAUAUCAUGCUACAAUAAGACACUACAUCAUGAUUAACUUCUAUAUUUUCCAACUCCAUCUAGACACGUUCAGCUUCAUGAGGCUACCUAUCACAUAAUACCAUCCAUUGAGAACAAUUAAUGCUGAAACUUUUGCGUCAAACAGAUAUGUAUCCUUGUUACAGUUACAAAAUACUUGUAGUAAUGAUCCUCCAUAUACACAGUUAUUUUAUAAGGUCUUAUAAACAUCUCAAGGGCAUUACUACUUUCAGCAAGCAAAUCAUGAGUACUAGUUACUACCUUGCUUGAUUCAUUAAGGUAAUCAUAAGUAUGGUAAAAUUAAUUAAUAAGCCUUUAUAAACAAAAAUGUUAGCAAAGAGUUUCAUAUGAUUACCUUAAUGGUUACACAUAGAUGAAGAAAUCAUUCAUUCUCUUGAAGUUUGUUAAAAGAUGAUGUUACUUCUUCUAAAACAACCUCAAUCAAAUUUUUGUAGCAGAUAUCUUCACAAAUGAUACCAAGAAGAGAUCUUCGUGUAUCAUCAAUUAUGAAUGACUUCCAUGUAUUAGGUUCCAUUCUCCACAUACAGAACAUAUGUCGAUAAUCAUAACCUGAUUAUUAGAAUGUAUGGAUCAGAGAAGGAAAAAAGUAUAUUCAACAUAACAAUACUCAAAGUAGAAAGGAUCAACAAGAUAUAUCAAAAACCAUAAUAUAUAAGCACUAUGUUCUUCACCGAUAAAUUUAUAAGGUUUUAUAAAUUUGAGAUUUCAAAAUUUCAUAAAAAAACUUCGUCUCCUUUCCCAGAAACUGAUCAAUUUUGAGAAAUCAAGCUAAACUAAAGAAAAAGACGAAAAUCACCAUCUAUUAUCAAAUCACCUUCGUUAGUGUUUCUUACGCGUGUUCGUCAUAGAGAUCGUCUUGUUCGUCUAAGCUUGUAGAGUUUGUCAGUUUCGUCGGAGAAAUCGUCACCUUCAUCAAAUAUCUGUCCGGCCAGAUCCAAUUCCAUUUUCUCUUCGAACCACUCUAUCGCAAUCGUGGUGCAGAUGCCUCACUUGGCUCAUACCAGUGUCCUCGCUUUCAUCAAAAAAUCAAUCGCCGACGUCUAACAUAUCCGAUCGUCGUCUUUGCCGGAGCUCGCCGGAUUCUCACAUCGAGGAAGAAGAUAUAGUUGGUUUAGAUAUAAUUGUAGGUUUAAUUAAUUAGAGACAUAAUGGUUAUUUUUCUAUUAAAAUUUUAAUGGUAAAAUUGAUUAGUGUAAAUUUGAAAAAUGGUAUCAUGAAAAUGGUAUUUUUGGAAAUUUUCCAUUUUACUUGAAGUUAGUGAAGCAAAUGGGGGGUGAUUGGUAGUUCUUGUAGGUGAUGUCCACAGCCAUAUUUAUUUCUACAGCACCAAAUUCAGAGCAAUCAAGCUUUAAAUUUUUUUUUGAAACCACAGCACUUGAAAUAACCUACAGCUGUACAAGUGCUCUGCAGAGCCAAAUAUCCAAAGCAAUUUUGUAGUGCUUUCCAUAAAAUUCUACAGCAAUAAAUUUUAAAGCCACAGCAAAAAGUCUACAGAUUUUUUUCUACAGCAAAAAUUUUAAAGCUACAGUCAUUACCAAGCGGACCCCAUAUUAACCCAUUUACAUAUAUAUAUAUACAUUUUAACAGAAUAUAUUAAAAAUUAUUUUUUCAAACAUUUUUUGAAACAUUUGUUCGAUUUUUGGUGCUGGUUGGAUUUGAUAUUGGUUUUCGGAUUUAACACUUUAAGAACCAUUCGAGUAUGUAGGCCAAGUGAGUAUGAGACUUUGAUUUUUGGGUCGAUUCUGCGUCAGGUUUUUUUCUGUACGAAUAUUCUUGACUAAUUAUGUUAGGUAACUAUUAAGAAAAUAUAAUAAGUUGCAAAUUUUAGGAAUGUAGUUUAAAAAUCAUUUUUGAAAUGCAUAUGGUACAAGUGUAUAGUUAUGUAACUUGACAUAUUUAAUAUAGUUACCAAAAAUUAUAUUAAAUUAAAUUAAUAUUAAACACAAAUAUUAUUACAAAAAAAAUAACACAAACAUAAAAAUUAAAUUUCUCAACAAAAAAAAAAAAUAUAUAUAUCCGCCAUUUCAAACAGCGGAUCAGAAUCUAGUCUCUUAAAAAACCGUAUCUAUAAUAAUAAAGGAGAGUUUUCUACCUCAUUAUGAUGCCACCUCACCAUUCAGCAUAGGGCAUUUUAGGACACGUGUCAAGACACUUAAACUUUGUGAACUUCGAUUAAAUAAUGGGCUACAAAACUCAACUCAAGCCCAAUCUCAGCCCAUGCUCUAAACACUUUGGAUCCGAUAGCACUGUCUCCCUCUAGAGCGUCGUCUUCUUCGUUCUCCAUCGCACCUCCGAUCGCAAAAACCAUGAAUAAUGCUUUAGUUUCUCAUUGAAGCCACUUCAUAACGUCUCUCCAUUAAAUACACCUGUCCAGCUUUCCCACUACGUCAACUUCAAUGAAUCCUUUCUCAACUUCCAUUACAAAUCCCUAAUUCCUAAGACUUUAAAUAAGGAUGAAGACCUCUCUAAUUCUCACUAAUUCAAGAUUCAAUCAUAUUCCUUCUUUACAAACAGUACUGCUACAACCAUGGCGUCAUCCCAUAUCUUUUUCAGAUUUGAAGCCUCCUUCGUUUCUGGGAAGCACACCAAGUCAAGAGAGGAGAGCUACUGGGAGUCUACAUGCUCAUGCUUGAUGAAUAGGUCGAGCUCUUUCAUAUACCUUCGAUGAUAGAUAGAAUCUGAUUUUAUUAUGUUGCUUCUCUGAUAUUUGUCAAGCUUCUCAUAAUUUUUAGUUUAACCCAACUAUUAUCCUCCACUAAAACACAAGCAAUUCUCAUGUGUCACUAAUUCCCAACUAUUAUAAAAAUGCAGUCUAUAUAAAUCACCCAACCUCUACAGAAAAAAAAUGAUUAAACAAAUAUAAGUUACAUUAGCAGAAGCCUCAUUAUAUUAUUCAAUUGGUUUAAAAACUAAGCACCCUAAGAAAAAUUUAAAAUAAAUAGUACAAAUAUUGUUGCUUAAUUAAAAUAUAAGAAUCAUGAAUAAAAUUAUGUUUUAUUGCCAGACUUAAUUUCUUACCAAAAAUCAAAUAAGAAAAAUAUAUGAACAAAACUUCAUUAUACAUGUUUAAAUUCAGAUUAGUCUCUAUAAAAAAAUUUCAAAUGCCGUUCUUUCUAUAUACUGUCCACAUUGUACUUAACAAUAUAAAUAUGUUCUCUAAAUAAAACAUCAACUUUACUUCAUUAUUCAUGUUUAAAUUUGUUACGACCUUUUUAUUCUACUUUUAUUGAAUCGAUUAGUCAAAACCACUAAUGUUAUUCCACUUUGAACUAAGCAACUUGAAAACAAAGUAAUACACUACAAUCGCUAACUACUAUCAAAUAGAUCCGGAAAAUAUCAUUCUCUUUCAACAUAUUUUCAUUUUCAUAUUUUUGAACAUAUUUUCUUUAUAAAGACAAUAAAAUGAAUUGUAAAUUCGUGUAAAAAUAAAAUAUAUGAACCCGGCGCGAAGCGCCGGAAUACCACUAGUUAGACAAUAUAUUACUUACAUAUCUUCGUAAGUCAUAACUCCAUCCUAACAUUUAGGGAUGUUGAUAUUCUUUUUCCAAAUAUGCAAGAUAUUUAUUAGGGAAUAUUAUUGAUCGAAGAAAUUGGAUUAGACAAUAUAUAUAACGUGAUUGAGUUUUAGGUGGUAUUAUGUAUAAUCUUUUUUUAUUAUUUGAGGAGCACUUUAAACAACUAACUUUAUCACCAUGUAAAAUGUCAUUUUCUAUGUGUAAUCAUGAGAAUAAUUUUCACUUUUUUUUUAAAUAGCCUUUCCUAGACUAAUUAUAUAUAAUCCUAUUGCUCACUAAAAUUUAAUUAUAUAAAAAUUAUAUUACUAUACUGUACGAGUCGGGAUUGCAUUACCAAAUAUGUGGCAUAAAUUGACAAUUAUAAAUAACUAGGGGAUGUCCGCAUUUCGCGCGGAAUAUUGUUUUAUUAUUGUUAAGAGUAUGAUUUUUUGGAUAAUGUAAUUUUGUUGUCGUUUUUAUUUGUUAAGAGCAUUACUUGGUAUUUUUAGUGUGUUUUAUAGUAGUAGGUGAUAUAUUAAUAUAUUUUGUGUUUGUUUUUUUGAAUAAUUUGUUUUUGUGUGUAUAGUACUUGUUAGUAGUGAAGUGAGCCUCUAACGUAAAAGAAUAUUCAAUUUCAAUAACUUUGUAUCUACGCAUUUGUUGAUUCUAAGAUUAACGGUUUCAGCAUCAAAAUUGUAUUUUAUUUUAUUUAUUUUUUAGUUAUAACUGUGUUUUUUGCCCUAUCCCCGUAUUUUGACCUUGAGCUGUCACCGUCUAUGUAUUUCGUUACCUUUCUGGUGUGCGAUACUUCUCACCAUCACCGGAAAAAGAUUCACCUCUUUCUCUUGUUCUUCCUUGCCUUCUUCACCUGUGAGAUUAUAUGGUAUUUGUUGUAGAUCAGGUUUAUGAGUUUUUAGUUGUUCGGUUGAUUCUCACGGCAUUGUAGACUGUUCCAAUCAAUAUUGACAGGUCCUCUUUUUCCUUAGAUUUCAGCUAAUGUUUGGAACUGUGUUUCUUUGGUUGGGCCAGAGUUUAGUCGUCUUUGAUGUUGUAUUCAUCGUUGUUGGCUUACCGUCAAUAGUGUCUCUGUUCAUCUUGGUGUUCAAGAUUUAUUUUUGGUGUUCUGAUUUAUAUGCUUUCUUUUAUAGCUCGAGGACGUUUCCAUAGUUUGCUGAUUUCGUUUCGUCUCUCUUUCCCUCUCUAUUCUCGCAUCUCUUUGCAGCUUUCAUCGCAUCUAUGGUGGCUCUCCCUUUCACCAUGUUUGCCACUUCAGGUUCGGAUAAUGUUUUCGUUCGUGUAUGCUAUGUGGGGUUGGAAGGUUAUUUCUGGUCUCAAGUUUAGUCUCUGAUUUCUCAGUGGUUGUCUUUCAUUCUCCCUUUCUCAAGUUGUUUCUUUUCUUUCUAUAUUUCUCUUGGUAUAUGUGUGCGGAGUUAGUCUCUUGGAGCUUUGGUCCCUUCUAUUCAGUGCUUUGUGGUUUUGCACUUGCAUGGUCGUCUUGUAUGUUCUUGCUUAGUUUGUGAGGUGUUUCUUACCUUUUAGCUACUGGUUGUGAUUCCGGUGCUUUUGGCAUAUAUCUUCCUGCUUCUUGGUAGCUUUGGCCUUUCGAUUAUUAUUCUUCCUUUGGCCCGCUUUCUUGGUUUUUUGCGUUGAUGCUCUAGUUUCUUAUUCUUAGUUUGAUUAUCUUAUGAUAUUAAUAGUGAAAUAAAUAUAUAGUUUGUAAAUGAAAUAAUAAAAAUUAGUAAAAAUAAUAAAAUGGUGAAAGUUUAUGCUAUUUUUAUUUGUGAAUAAAUUAAAUAUUUAAAAUAAAUUUAUAUUUUUUAUUUAUUUCUUGAAUUUUAGGGACCAAUAAAUAUGAGAAAGAUUAGGUAGUACAUAAUUAGAAAUUGAUAGAGCAAAUUGCAAUAAUUUAAAUGAAGAAGGAUUUAAAUUAUAAAACAAACAUGAGGACACAUGUCAACAAACCCCCCUUCCACAUGUCAUAAGAAGGAAAAAAUCCAACUUUAUAUAUAUAUAUAUACUCAAAAUAACCAUUGCGUGGAAACAUCAGUUAGCUAACUUUCGUUCUUCUGUUGGUCAAAGUGAGACAUAACUAGGGAUGGCAAUUGGGAACCUGGACCGCGGGCCUGACCCAAUAAAAAUGUAGCCGGACGGGUUUGGGCCGACAUUUCUUAGGCCCACAGAAAAGCGGGCCUCGCCGGAUAGACCCGUGCGGGAUUGGGCUAUUUGGGGAUUGGGCUUGAUUUGUCCUGCGGGAAAAAGGGAUUCACCGACAAGACUGAAGGGGAUCCGACGAUGGCGGUUCGAGGUUCGAUGGUGGUCUUGUCUUCCCUUCGUCUUCGAUAUGCACCAGUGGAGAUUCAACGAACACAACUCACUUUUGUCCUUUCUCAGCUGCGAUGAUGCGCAAAGAUCUUACUAAUGAUAUUUUGGCCAUCUGUUUUGUUUUUGUUUGAUGUUUGAUCCGAGAUGAUGGAGAACAUAUGUCUUCUUGUCUUCUUCUAGACUUCUACUAAUUCUUGGUUCUCCAUUAAUUGCCUACAUGUCUCCGUCAAUGGUAUCUAAAGCGGCCAUUUAACAGAGCUGAAGGAACAGCUCAAGAUUGUUAAAAUUCUCUAUUUGAUCUUUUUUUAUCAUUCGUAGCCUUAUAUCAUCAGCAUGUUUUAAUAUAAAUGUAACGUAGCUGAAGGAACAGCUCAAGAUUGCCUUCUUAUAAAAAAAAAAAAGAAGAAGCUCAAGCUUGUGUCUUUCAGAGAAAGAAGGAAGAACAUGCAAAUUCUGAUGUCUUUGCUAUCCUUAAGCGUUUAUCUGAGUAGUUCAUGUAAGCGUCUUUAUCCCAAUAUGAUGAAAGUUUCUGGACUGUGAUAUAUCAACUUUUCAGUGUUGGGGAUUUAUUUCUUUUCUUAUUUUUCCGUGAGAUACAUUUGCAUAGGAGACAGAGAGGCAUCCACUUUGCUUAUUGCCAAGUCACCGCAAAACAAUGAGCUUGUGAGUUGUGACAAAUAAAACAUUAUCUGUUGGGUAUCUCUGAAGCCGGAGUUGAAGUUGUUCUUGCCGCCGGAGUUUUCCCUUACGUGCUUCGUCUUCUCACUAGUUUUGAUGCAAAGGUAAUGUCGUCCCUCAGGCCGUCCCACAAAGGACCAUGUAAUAUACAAGACGGGUUUGGUCAGCCAUUUCGGAGACCGCGUCCCGCACGGACCUAACCUGCCGUGACCCGCUUGAAGCCAAUCCCGCUGCGGUCCGGGACAGGAUGGGACGGGAUAACCUGUUUGCCAUCUCUAGACGUAACUGAUGGUUCUAACGUACAACACUAUCUCUCUUUGAUCAGUGAGAAGAAGCCCUGCAUAACAUGAAACAUUUCAUGGUUCAAUUUACUCACUGAAAUGGAUUUUAAAAAUUAUCGAACAAAAUACAUAUAGCCACAAAAUGAACGGAGAAAUAUAGUUAUUUAUAUUCUUAGCAUAAUAUUAGUGGAUUGAGCGAUAUGUAUGCUUCAUUAUUUUACAAUUUUUUAGCAUAAUAUUAGUGGAUUUUUCGAUGUGUAUGAUGUAUUAUUUCAAAGAAGUUAUCAUACA